GACAGAGGCCUCAAGCGUUAGGCGGAAUCACUGGGCUUAAAGCGUGUGUAGGCGGAUCGUUAAGUGCCUUGUGAAAUCCCACGGCUUAACUGUGGAACGGCUGGGCAUACUGGCGGUCUUGAGCCAUCUAGGGGCGACUGGAACAAACGGUGGAGCGGUGAAAUGCGUAGAUAUCUGAAGGAACAUCAGUGGCGAAAGCGACUUCCUGGACCAAUACUGACGCUGAGGAGCGAAAGCCAGGGGAGCAAACGGG
rnacentral:rRNA from 1 species